AUGCUUGCUGGGGCACAGCGGUCAUUUGCUUCUGCCUCAGGGCCAUUUGAGGAGGAUGCCACACUUGCUGGGGCACAGCGAUCAUUUGCUUCUGCCUCAGGGCCAUUUGAGGAGGAUGCCACACUUGCUGGGGCACGGCAGUCGGUUGCUUCUGCUGCAUUUGAGCUGGAUGCCACACUUGCUGGGGCACGGUGGUCGGUUGCUUCUGCUGCAUUUGAGCAGGAUGCCACACUUGCUGGGGCACGGUCGUCAGUUGCUUCUGCUGCAGGGGCAUUUGAGGAUGCCACACUUGCUGGGGCACGGCAGUCGGUUGCUUCUGCUGCAGGGGCAUUUGAGGAUGCCACACUUGCUGGGGCACGGCAGUCGGUUGCUUCUGCUGCAGAGGCAUUUGAGAAGGAUGCCACACUUGCUGGGGCACGGCAGUCGGUUGCUUCUGCUGCAUUUGAGCUGGAUGCCACACUUACUGGGGCACGGUCGUCAGUUGCUUCUGCUGCAGGGGCAUUUGAGGAUGCCACACUUGCUGGGGCACGGCAGUCGGUUGCUUCUGCUGCAGAGGCAUUUGAGAAGGAUGCCACACUUGCUGGGGCACGGCAGUCGGUUGCUUCUGCUGCAUUUGAGCUGGAUGCCACACUUGCUGGGGCACGGUCGUCAGUUGCUUCUGCUGCAGGGGCAUUUGAGGAUGCCACACUUGCUGGGGCACGGCAGUCGGUUGCUUCUGCUGCAGAGGCAUUUGAGAAGGAUGCCACACUUGCUGGGGCACGGCAGUCGGUUGCUUCUGCUGCAUUUGAGCUGGAUGCCACACUUGCUGGGGCACGGUCGUCAGUUGCUUCUGCUGCAGGGGCAUUUGAGGAUGCCACACUUGCUGGGGCACGGCAGUCGGUUGCAGGGGCAUUUGAUCAGGAUGCCACACUUGCUGGGGCACGGUGGUCGGUUGCUUCUGCUGCAGGGGAAUUUGAGCAGGAUGCCACAAUUGCUGGGGCACGGCGGUCGGUUGCUUCUGCUGCAGGGCCAUGUGAGGAGGAUGCCACACUUGCUGGGUCAUGGCGGUCAGUUUCUUCUGCAGCAGGGGCAUUUGAGCUCUAUGCCACACUUGCUGGGGCACGGCGGUCGGUUGCUUAUGCAUCAGCAUGUGAGCUUGAUGCCACACUUGCUGGGGCACCGCGGUCGGUUGCUUAUGCGUCAGCAUGUGAGCUUGAUGCCACACUUGCUGGGGCACGGCGGUCGGUUGCCUCUGCUGCUGAGCUUCUGCGGCCAGUUGCUUCUGAUGCAGGGGCAUUUGAACUGGAUACCACACUUGCUGAGGUUGCUGGGACAUGGGGGCCAGUUCCUUCCGCAGGAUGGCGGCCGGAUGUUUCUGUUGCGCUUGCAUUUGAGAUUUUGGAGACUUAUAAUUGCCAUAUCCUAGAGACCGAAGUGAUCCUGCAUAGAGCCAUGCUGCAUUAGAAUCCAGUGCAGGAGACCGAUCACCUAGGUUAAAAAUAUAAACUGUAAAAUGCCAGCAUUUGAAAGUUAUGGAACUGCAUAGCUGUUAUUUGAAAUGACCUCACCUUCUGAUGUAGAACACGUUAUCCCUCCAAUUAGCAGGCAACAAAGCCAAGAAACGCUUAAGGAAAAAUAAUGUAUGUCAUAAACAUAGCUACCUGUAACACCUGAAGGACAAGGGAAACAAACUUAAUCAAUACUUAAAAACAUACCUGAAAGCGAUUCCAAUUAUCACGGCCAUUUCGCCCUCAAAACCUCACCAGUAUUCAGAACUAAUGGUAGGCAUACGUCCUACCAGAAUAUCCCUUUUACUAUAUUUGCCAGAUGUUUGGUUGCUCCUUUUAAAGGAAUCCCAGACCCUUCUAAUGUCGUUGGCUAAUUAAGGACAGCUGUCA
rnacentral:lncRNA from 1 species